rnacentral:rRNA from 1 species
GAUGAACGCUGGCGGCGUGCCUAAUACAUGCAAGUCGAGCGAACAGACGAGGAGCUUGCUCCUCUGACGUUAGCGGCGGACGGGUGAGUAACACGUGGAUAACCUACCUAUAAGACUGGGAUAACUUCGGGAAACCGGAGCUAAUACCGGAUAAUAUAUUGAACCGCAUGGUUCAAUAGUGAAAGACGGUUUUGCUGUCACUUAUAGAUGGAUCCGCGCCGCAUUAGCUAGUUGGUAAGGUAACGGCUUACCAAGGCAACGACGCGUAGCCGACCUGAGAGGGUGAUCGGCCACACUGUAACUGAGACACGGUCCAGACUCCUACGGGAGGCAGCAGUAGGGAAUCUUCCGCAAUGGGCGAAAGCCUGACGGAGCAACGCCGCGUGAGUGCUGAAGGUCUUCGGAUCGUAAAACUCUGUUAUUAGGGAAGAACAAAUGUGUAAGUAACUAUGCACGUCUUGACGGUACCUAAUCAGAAAGCCACGGCUAACUACGUG